UGGGGAAUAUUGCACAAUGGGCGCAAGCCUGAUGCAGCCAUGCCGCGUGUGUGAAGAAGGCCUUCGGGUUGUAAAGCACUUUCAGCGGGGAGGAAGGCGGUGAGGUUAAUAACCUCACCGAUUGACGUUACCCGCAGAAGAAGCACCGGCUAACUCCGUGCCAGCAGCCGCGGUAAUACGGAGGGUGCAAGCGUUAAUCGGAAUUACUGGGCGUAAAGCGCACGCAGGCGGUCUGUCAAGUCGGAUGUGAAAUCCCCGGGCUCAACCUGGGAACUGCAUUCGAAACUGGCAGGCUAGAGUCUUGUAGGGGGGGGUAGAAUUCCAGGUGUAGCGGUGAAAUGCGUAGAGAUCUGGAGGAAUACCGGUGGCGAAGGCGGCCCCCUGGACAAAGACUGACGCUCAGGUGCGAAAGCGUGGGAAGCAAACAGG
rnacentral:rRNA from 1 species